rnacentral:tRNA from 1 species
UGGGUUAUAGAGUAAUUGGCAACUCGGUACUUUUUGGUGGUACACACUGGUGGUUCGAAUCCAUCUAACCCAG